rnacentral:misc_RNA from 1 species
AUUGGGAAACUUUUGAUUAAGAAGUGGAGCCAAUGCUUAUUUUCAAUUCUAUAGAUUGGAUCUGCUAGUUCUUUCAGUAAGUCAUUCUAAAAUUCUUAGUUUGAUGAUGCUAUCUGUCACUCUGGUUCCUUGACUCAUUCUUUUAUUUGUUAGAUUUAUAAGGGUUUUUCUUUUCUUUUGGUUCAUGUUCAGUCCUGCAAAUGUGCAUCUUAAUUUUUUUUCUUUUUCUUUUGAUGGCAGAAAUGGCUAUUUGCAAAUUGUAUAUAAUAACAGCAGAUGGUGGGCAGUAAUGGGG